rnacentral:rRNA from 1 species
UAGGGAAUCUUCCACAAUGGACGCAAGUCUGAUGGAGCAACGCCGCGUGAGUGAAGAAGGUUUUCGGACCGUAAAGCUCUGUUGUUGGUGAAGAAGGAUAGAGGUAGUAACUGGCCUUUAUUUGACGGUAAUCAACCAGAAAGUCACGGCUAACUACGUGCCAGCAGCCGCGGUAAUACGUAGGUGGCAAGCGUUGUCCGGAUUUAUUGGGCGUAAAGCGAGCGCAGGCGGAAGAAUAAGUCUGAUGUGAAAGCCCUCGGCUUAACCGAGGAAUUGCAUCGGAAACUGUUUUCUUGAGUGCAGAAGAGGAGAGUAGAACUCCAUGUGUAGCGGUGGAAUGCGUAAAUAUAUGGAAGAAUACCAGUGGCGAAGGCGGCUCUCUGGUCUGCAACUGACGCUGAGGCUCGAAAGCAUGGGUAGCGAACAGGAUUAGAUACCCUGGUAGUCCAUGCCGUAAACGAUGAGUGCUAAGUGUUGGGAGGCUUCCGCCUCUCAGUGCUGCAGCUAACGCAUUAAGCACUCCGCCUGGGGGAGUACGACCGCAAGGUUGAAAC